rnacentral:misc_RNA from 1 species
UCUCCGUUGGUGAACCAGCGGAGGGAUCAUUACCGAGUUUACAACUCCCAAACCCCUGUGAACAUACCAUUUGUUGCCUCGGCGGUGCCUGCUUCGGCAGCCCGCCAGAGGACCCAAACCCUCGAUUUUAUACAGUAUCUUCUGAGUAAAUGAUUAAAUAAAUCAAAACUUUCAACAACGGAUCUCUUGGUUCUG